AACUGGGCUCAGGGAGUGGGGCUUGCCCCUGCUCAGUGCGUGGGGGUCCCGGCCCCACACAGUGCUAGGGUCCCUCUCGAGUUUCUCAUCUGCCUUCAGGUCACUUUCCACCCUGAUGCCUUGGCUUGUCCUGAAGCUCAGGGCCCCUGUAGCUUGGGAAACCUCCCAAGCUCCCCAGCGAGUGGCUGUAGACCAAGGAAGGGACCCUGCCCGGCUUCAGGGAAGAAAGGAAGAAAGUUACUCCCCUGCUGGUGCCUCCCUCCUUGGCGCGCUUCCCACCUGCGAUCGGCGCCCUCUUCGCAGUCACGAACUCGCCAGCAGCUAGCAGCACUGACUAGUAGGAGGGCCCGCCGGAGGAGAGAUUGUCCUGUGAAGUGAAGUAUGAUCGGACAGCCUCUUUUCAGCUUUUAUGACAAUGGAGACAGAGGAAUUGUGGCUCUUGCCAAGGUCACAGGAUUGGAAUACAGAGCCAAGCCACCCCAGGACAUGCAAGAGCCUCAGAAGGGAAAAAAGCCCAGCAGGAAGGGAGAACAAGUAGCCUCUGUCCUGAAGUUGUAACAGCCAGGGGCCAGGAUGGAGGAGGAGGACCCCAUAAUCUGCCCAUCUGGGACUUGGCAGGGGACCUGGGAAAAUGUACCCCAACCCAUCCCUUAAGGGCCUUUGUCUUUGGCCCAUUGGCCUAGC
rnacentral:lncRNA from 1 species